rnacentral:lncRNA from 1 species
GCCGUGAAGGUCGUGGAUCGCUUGGUGGAUGCUUUGCGGGGAGGCAUCGGGUGAAGAUCUAGUAGGAGAAGGAGAAGAGGAUGUCGCAGAGGAUGAUCGGAAUCAGUCUCGUUGAGAACUCCUUUAAGAACAAGGAUACUGCGAAGACACAGCAUCCUUCCUUUAGCGUCAAUUCUGUUGGUACAGAAUUUUGCUGAAGCUGGAGU